rnacentral:rRNA from 1 species
UAUGAACGCUGGCGGCGCGCCUAACACUUGCAAGUCGAGCGAGAAAGUUCCUUCGGCGACGAGUACAGCGGCGGACGGUUGAGUAACACGUGGGAAUUUCCCCUUUAGUGAAGAAUACCUCCGAGAAAUCGGGGUUAAUACUGCAUACGUCCCUUCGGGGAGAAAGGUGGCCUCUUUGCUGCCGCUAAAGGAUAAGCCUGCGGACUAUCAGCUUGUUGGUGGGGUAAUGGCCUACCAAGGCUAUGACGGUUAGCCGGCCUGAGAGGGUGAACGGCCAGACUGGAACUUAGACACGGUCCAGACUCCCUACGGGAGGCAGCAGUGGGGAAUCUUGCGCAAUGGGCGAAAGCCUGACGCAGCGACGCCGCGUGGAGGAUGAAGGUUUUAGGAUUGUAAACUCCUGUUAAGUGGGAUGAAAGUCUUGCUUCUAAUACAGGCAAGAUAUGACGGUACCAUUAGAGAAAGCACCGGCUAACUUCGUGCCAGCAGCCGCGGUAAUACGAGGGGUGCAAGCGUU